GAUGAAGAACGUAGUGAAAUGCGAUAAGUAAUGUGAAUUGCAGAAUUCAGUGAAUCAUCGAAUCUUUGAACGCACCUUGCACCCUUUGGCAUUCCGAAGGGUAUGCUCGUUUGAGUGUCAUUGUACUCUCACUCUCCCGAUGCUUUUGGAUCGGGAGUGGUGGACUUGGGUGUUGCUGCUUUGCUGUGGCUCGCCUCAAAUGGAGUAGUGCAACUCUUGGUUGGACAUAGUACGGCGUGAUAAGUGUCUUCGCCGGCGCCUCAUUAUAGAGGGUGGCCGAUCGGGAGCUCUGUGCUUCAAACCGUCUUCGGACAACAUCUGGCAACUUGACCUCAAAUCGAGUAGGACUACCCGCUGAACUUAAGCAUAUCAAUAAGCGGAGGA
rnacentral:misc_RNA from 1 species